GUCCCUGUAGCGCAAUGGAUAGCGCGUUGGACUAGUAAUCCAAAGGUCGUGUGUUCGAAUCUCACCUAGGAUG
rnacentral:tRNA from 1 species